ACCGGAAUGUGCAUGUUUUCCAUGUGAAGGACAAAAGCACAGCAUGUGUUGCCUGAACAGAAGGACAAUGAUUCUUCGUCCUUCGCACGCAAAACAUACAGCACAAUGCAUAUCACAAAAAAGUAAAAAAACAAAUAAACAAAACCAACCUCUUCGCACCAUUCUAAGAAAGACCCUGGGAUCGAGGUUGAAACAAAACUCCCAUGAGAGGUUAUUUGGCCAACCGAGGUUUGCACUGUAGUUUGUAGUCUGCUGUAAAACUCAUAAUAACAUAAAAGCAACCUUUGUAGAUCGAGUAGUAA